UCAGCACGCACGUAAGGUGGGAGGAACCAAGUGGAAGCCGGGAGGUUUGAACGGCGAUUGCAUUACAGCGGAUUAGCUUGCAAUCUGGACUCCAUAUAUUGGAACCUCGUCUGACUUACCUGCAGGAGACAUCUCCCAGCGUGGGGAAGCGUGCUUGUGAGUCACGGGAAAAUAUAUCGUUGUACUCACCAUCAACUCUAGUAAGCAGUUAUCUGUUUACC